rnacentral:rRNA from 1 species
GGAAAAUGGCGGCGGCCUAACACAUGCAAGUCGAGCGGAAACGAGUUAACUGAACCUUCGGGGAACGUUAACGGCGUCGAGCGGCGGACGGGUGAGUAAUGCCUGGGAAAUUGCCCUGAUGUGGGGGAUAACCAUUGGAAACGAUGGCUAAUACCGCAUAAUAGCUUCGGCUCAAAGAGGGGGACCUUCGGGCCUCUCGCGUCAGGAUAUGCCCAGGUGGGAUUAGCUAGUUGGUGAGGUAAUGGCUCACCAAGGCGACGAUCCCUAGCUGGUCUGAGAGGAUGAUCAGCCACACUGGAACUGAGACACGGUCCAGACUCCUACGGGAGGCAGCAGUGGGGAAUAUUGCACAAUGGGCGCAAGCCUGAUGCAGCCAUGCCGCGUGUAUGAAGAAGGCCUUCGGGUUGUAAAGUACUUUCAGCAGUGAGGAAGGUGGGUAUGUUAAUAGCAUACACAUUUGACGUUAGCUGCAGAAGAAG